CCUACGGGAGGCAGCAGUGGGGAAUUUUCCGCAAUGGGCGAAAGCCUGACGGAGCAAUACCGCGUGAGGGAAGAAUGCCUACGGGUUGUAAACCUCUUUUAUCAGGGAGGAACAAAAUGACGUGUACCUGAUGAAUAAGCAUCGGCUAACUCUGUGCCAGCAGCCGCGGUAAGACAGAGGAUGCAAGUGUUAUCCGGAAUUACUGGGCGUAAAGCGUCUGUAGGUUGUUUAACAAGUCAACUGUUAAAUCUUGAAGCUUAACUUCAAAAUCGCAGUCGAAACUGUUAAACUAGAGUAUAGUAGAGGUAAAGGGAAUUUCCAGUGGAGCGGUGAAAUGCGUAGAUAUUGGGAAGAACACCGAUGGCGAAAGCACUUUACUGGGCUAUUACUGACACUCAGAGACGACAGCUAGGGUAGCAAAUGGGAUUAGAUACCCCAGUAGUCCUAGCCGUAAACUAUGGAUACUAGAUGUUGAACAGAUCGACCUGUGCAGUAUUAAAGCUAACGCGUUAAGUAUCCCGCCUGGGAAGUAUGCUCGCAAGAGUGAAAACUCAAAAUGAAAUUGACGG
rnacentral:rRNA from 1 species